rnacentral:rRNA from 1 species
UUGAACUGAAGAGUUUGAUCAUGGCUCAGAUUGAACGCUGGCGGCAGGCCUAACACAUGCAAGUCGAGCGGAUGACGGGAGCUUGCUCCUUGAUUCAGCGGCGGACGGGUGAGUAAUGCCUAGGAAUCUGCCUGGUAGUGGGGGACAACGUUUCGAAAGGAACGCUAAUACCGCAUACGUCCUACGGGAGAAAGCAGGGGACCUUCGGGCCUUGCGCUAUCAGAUGAGCCUAGGUCGGAUUAGCUAGUUGGUGAGGUAAUGGCUCACCAAGGCGACGAUCCGUAACUGGUCUGAGAGGAUGAUCAGUCACACUGGAACUGAGACA